rnacentral:lncRNA from 1 species
UUUCUACCAGACCUCGCACUAAAUAGGUAGCACCCCUCAUUCCCCAGCCAAAGAUGUGGUGGUGGGCUGGGGGGGGGGGUGGGUGGUGCAGAAACAGCUAAAAGUAAAAUAGAAGCUUUAGCUAAAUCCAGAACCUUAUGACUUAACACUCAAAAUGUCUAUGUUUCAAUUAAAAAUCAUUUCUCAUACAAGAACCAGGAAUAUCUCACAUUGAAUGAAAAAAGACAGAUGUCAACAUCUAGAUGGCAGAGACAGUAGAAUUUUAAACAAGCAAUUAUAAAAAUGCUUCACUGAGUACUUAUGAACAUGUUUGAAACAAAUGAAGAAAUAGAAACUGUCACAAAGAAAUAGAAAGUCUUAGCAGAGAAAUAAAAGAUAUUUAAAAAAGAACCAAAAGGAAAUGUUAGAUCUGAAAUACAAAACUGAAAUAAAAAUCUUAACAGCAGAAUGGAGGGCACAGAGGAAAGGAUCAGUGAACUGAAAGAUAGAACAAAAGGAAAGAUCCAAUCUGAAUAACAGAGAAAAUAAAAUGGAAAAAUGAACAGUGCCUCAGGGACCCAUGAGACUAAAAAAAGAUCGCACAUUCCUGUCACUGUGGGUCUCUGAAGAGAGAAAGAAGAUGGCAGGGUUGAAAAAAUACUCAAAGAAAUAAUGGCUGAAAAUCUCUCAAAUUUGGCAAAUGACAUAAACCUACAGACACCAGAAGUGAAGUAAACCCAAAGAAAUCCGUACAAGACACAUCACAAUUGAUCUUCCGAAAAGCAAAGGCAAAAAGUCUUAAAAGUAGCUCAAGAGAAAUGACACCUGAUCUGUAGGGAAAAGCAAUUUGAACGACAAUGGACUUCUUAUCAGGAGUCAUGAAGCCACAUGGAAGUAGCAAACAUUUUCAAGUGCUGAAGAAGGGGAACUCUUAACCCAGAAUCCUUGGAUAUCCACUGGAAACAAUUCAUGAAGGACAUUCUCAGAUAAAGGAAAACUAAGAGAGUUUGUCACCAGCAAACGUAUCCUUCAUUUUGAAUUAAUGCUUUUGUGCAAGUAUUUCCAGAUAGCAUAGCAACCAAGUGGGGUUAGGGUGAUGGUGGACACUCCUUCUGGAGUAGCAGUGCAAGUUUCCUAUCCAACAUGGGUCCAUGGACCUCACAAAGUUGGUUUAUGGUUGGACUUUAGAAAGGUCCAUAACUUCCCAAUAUUGUAUGCACAAUUUGUUCCCCAUGUGGAUUUCUUUGAGGUGACAGUCAAAUACUUUCAUUAGAUUCUCAAGGGAUCCAGGACCUAAAGAUAUUUAAACCAUGGUAAUAUCACCAAUGAUACAGUGACUUACGUUGAUGCCAUAUGCUGAAUUAACUCCUUUGAGAAGUUUUGUCCUCAUUUGAGUUAAGAUGGGACAUGGUAGAUAAGCUAGAAUAAAGAUACAUUCAUUUAAGAAGCUGGAAAUUGUAUCAUUAAAAUUCCUUAUUAAGUAUUCUAGUGAGGAAGCUGAAAUAUAGUGGCAUGUAUAGCUGAUCAGGAGCCAGUGAGGAAACCCCAGGGACAGGUGGCUGAAAGGAUUUAAUAGCACAGAAAUUGUAUACAUCAGGGUCCAGGAGGUGAAGGAGAUCUCUUUACAUGAACAGUCUACAGAAAUCUUGAGUAAGGCUUUGGAUUUCCACAGUGCAUUGACCUAGGCAUUUAAGCCAAUCAUAUCUAAAUUCAAAUGGCAACAAAAUAUUUUUAAAAAUCUUUCAAAGCAGGUGAUGCUACAGUCUCUGUGCUUCACAAAUCCAAGUUAUCAUUAUUGGCUACCACUCCUCCAUAUGCACAGGCAAUAAGUCAGGUAUUCCUUCCAGUAAUUGGGGCUACAAUGUAAACUUAGCAAAGCUUCCAGAUUAACACAUUUGUAAAAACAAGACUUCCUAAUAACCUGUCAUCUGCUUUCCCAAUUUCUCUAUAAUUUUAGUCUGUAGAUGACAUUCUUGUGGAGUUUUAGGUGACUGUCAUAUUGCAGCCAUCUGGCAGCCUGUUUAAGAAGCACAACUCUGACAUUAUAAGAUGAUGAAUCAGUGGUUAAAAACAAAACAAAAGGUGGUUGAUGUUUAUUGUAAUACAAUCUUAUAAAAUCUGAGAGUAUUAACUAAUUAGUAUUUAUAAAAGCAUCUUCAAACUGAAAUAUCCAUUACCAUUGAAAAUCAUUUUAACUAGAUAAAAUAUUUCCCCAAGUUGUUUUUUUGUGACACAAAAUAAAAUAGUGGACAUUCAAUGAUUAUAAAAUGCUUGUUUGCUUUUAGAAUGGGCAUAUCAUGGAUAUCAGGGUUUUUUGUGCGUGCUUAUGUAAUUUCCUUGCUAGUAAUU